rnacentral:rRNA from 1 species
AAGCGCUUGUGACCAGACUUGCGCCGGGCGGCUCAUCCGGGGUUCUCCCCGGUGCACUCCGCCCGGCUCAGGCCAGCAUCGGUUCUCGUUGGGGGAUAAGAACGGCAGGAACGUGGCCCUCCUUCGGGUGGGUGUUAUAGCCUGCCGUACGAUACCCUGACGGGGACCGAGGUUCGCGCUCCGCAAGGAUGCUGGCGUAAUGGUCAUCAGCGA